AUUGAACGCUGGCGGCAGGCCUAACACAUGCAAGUCGAGCGGCAGCGGAAAGUAGCUUGCUACUUUGCCGGCGAGCGGCGGACGGGUGAGUAAUGUCUGGGAAACUGCCUGAUGGAGGGGGAUAACUACUGGAAACGGUAGCUAAUACCGCAUAACGUCGCAAGACCAAAGAGGGGGACCUUCGGGCCUCGUGCCAUCAGAUGUGCCCAGAUGGGAUGAGCUAGUAGGUGGGGUAACGGAUAACCUAGGCGAUGAUCCCUAGCUGGUCUGAGAGGAUGACCAGCCACACUGGAACUGAGACACGGUCCAGACUCCUACGGGAGGCAGCAGUGGGGAAUAUUGCACAAUGGGCGCAAGCCUGAUGCAGCCAUGCCGCGUGUAUGAAGAAGGCCUUCGGGUUGUAAAGUACUUUCAGCGGGGAGGAAGGCGUUGAGGUUAAUAACCUCAGCGAUUGACGUUACCCGCAGAAGAAGCACCGGCUAACUCCGUGCCAGCCGCCGCGGUAAUAC
rnacentral:rRNA from 1 species